UUACUGCAAACAGCAACAGCUCAUGUACAGUGCUUCCUGGUAAAUCAGUGUGACAAUAUUCUCAGAGGUUGAAAUCAUAGGUGUGUUAUCGAUUUUGUGUUAAGCUUUAAGUUAAAUAGUCUCAAAGAGUGCCAGGAAUCAGUCAGGUGGAUUUCCUGGAGGCUACAGCGGAACUUUGAACAUUAAGAAAUAGCAGACCUCUAUUUAAAUAUUUAAAUUUAUCAUAUUAAUAAGCAAAGAUACUGUGUUCACUUAUUUUGACAAUUGCAGCUUAGUUUGAAUCAUAAAUUACUUGUGAAAUACGAGUGCACUGAAAGCACUGUAUUUUAUGAAAGCACUGAAAGAGAUUCCAUUUAUUGGCCCUGGAGACUGACAAGGAACCAACACCUGUGCCCAAAUGUUUUCUGAACCUUGGCAGCAACAGGCAUGUUCAUUAUGCAGCAGUUGUAGUUCCAAGUGUGCUCAAGGAACGGGAGAGCAGCAGCCUUCUCCCUUGCAAGGAAAAACAGGUUAAGUAGCAAAACAGCCGGUGCAGUGGAAUCCCUAACACGUCCCAUCUUCAAGAAAACUGGUGCUUCUGUGACUGUGCGUCACAAGUGCAAGCUGCAAUUUAUGAGGAGAUAAAGGAAGAGAAACAAAGGUAAUAAGGCUUAUGGAACAGCUUCCAUGUGAUAGAAGAAAUAUAGUCUUCAGACUGGGAAAGAAUCAACUAAACAUAGUAUUAUAAAGAUCUACAGGACUGGGAAUGCCAUGAAAAAGAUCUUGCAUUCUAUCUGCUGUCAGCUCGGUUUGGAUUAUCACCUCGGAUGUGGGAUUCAGCGUGUUCAGUGUGUGGUGAGCACUUCCACGUUCCAUUUUAUAAAAUCACAUUUUCUAAUGAGAAUGCAAAUGAAAGAAAAGCUGUGUGAAAUGGCUAUAGAUGAGUUGCUUGUCAAAAAUGUUUUACUUUACAAAAAAAAGAAAAAAAAAAAGCUUGCUCAACAGGGUAAUGUACUGCGUGUCCUCAAUGGACUCCUCUUCUGAGUUGUGGCACAUGGCCAAAUAGGAAGGUAGCACAUCUUCAUUGUUGCUGGUUCUCAUUCUAACUGCCAGAACAACUCAUGCAGGUUUUGACAGCUUUUUUUUUUUUUUUUAAUAUAUACAUUUACAUAAACUGCUUUAUUGACGUAGCAUGUUUUGAACAGAAAAUAUACAUGUUAGGUUACGAAGAGAUUUUUUCUGGAAGACCCUAUAUGCUUUUUCUUCUUAACAAAGCAUAGAGAUAAUGUUUCUAAAGAGAACUUUAAAACUUCCUUUAUUAUAAAAUAUGAAUCAAAACACAAUAAAAAGAGUCGUUAUCUCUUAGUCAGCAGAGUGCUUUCAGUACUGAGCCGUGUUGAAUGCGUGCAGAGAGAUCAUGACUGGAAGAUGAAAUUAUCCUUACUGAAGGGUACUAGAGAUCUGUACAAAAAUAACCUUUAAUUAGAUUUAAAUAUGACAUGUAUUCACUUUGCUGACUUUGGCUUUUAUUGAUUCUUUAUAAUGUGUUAAAAGUAUAGGGUGAUAUCUCACAUCACCUUAGGUAGGACUUUAUGACUGCCUCAGGUCUCAUUGUUAAUGCUCUUACAGCUAUUUACCUCUGUCAGUAAUGAACAGGCUAAUGGGUCAGCAGACCUGACUGUGUGCUGAUCUCUCUGGAUGAUUUUCAUUCAGUCUUCAUCUGCAGCUGGCUUUUCCACGUGGCCUAAGUGAUCUGAAUGUCCUUGCACGUAGAAUAGUUAUCAGAUAUAUAUAACGAGGUAAUCAGAAAAUUGAAGUCGUGUGUGGAACAAAAACCAUCCAGUUUUUAUAGGAGUACACGUACUAUGUGCAAUACAGCAUCCCUCAUAGAAUAACUGUGUAAAGGAAAAAAAAAAAAAGUGGCAAUAAAAUCUUGGUGGUUACAGGGCAGAUUUUCAGCGUAGUCCAUCAUCCACAGCUGGAACUCCAUUCUAACAUGGCAGAAUUUCUACCUGUGCUCAGAUACUGUUUGUCAAAACACAUCCAGAUUCCCAGAGGAUUUCAGCACUUUGGGUGCUAAGCGUGUGUAGAAAUACAGUCGUCAGUGUCACAGUAAGAAGAGAUGGACAUCAAGCACUCCAGUAAAUUCUGAUUUUACUGUGGUGAACGGAACUCUCUGUUGUUUUUUAACCUAAUUAUAUGUGCUAAAUACCUGAAUAUUUGACCUGAAUAUUUGAAAGCUCUUGAAAAUCCUGCUUUAAAAUAUUUCCAGUUCAGCAGUGAUCAGAUUUCAAUUUAAUUUUUAAUUAAGACUUAUUUGUUAUGUACAGUAUUAACUUGCAACACUUUUUUAAUUAAAAAAAAAAAAUGUUAUCUUUAUAGAAUUGACUUAUUUGGAAACUUAACAUAAGCUUCCAAGCCCACAGAAAAUAUGUUGAUGCGUUUCUGUUUAAAAUACAUUUUAAAAAGUAAUUCCCUGUAAAAUGUCUUAGUGGGACUACAUUAGAAAUAAUUUUGGAUGUUUUAGAUAAGAACCCUUUUAAUCCUUGACCCUGAAAUCUGGCUAUAGAAAUGUUGUUGGGAAUACUGCCUUAAUGCUGCUGAGUAUUUCAGCCAUACAGUUCCCAACAUUGCCUGGUUACUGCUCUGAAAACAUCUGGAUGGAAUUGUGGCUGGACAGACAUCUUGGUGCUGUGUAUGAGGUAGCCUUGGUUCUGUGCAUCAGAGUGCCCGUUGACUUCAGCCAGCGUUCUGGACGUGGUAAGGACUUGGAGCAUAAGAAUUUUAUCUGUGAGAGCUUUGGGGUCGUUUCGCUCAUCAUAAUACCUCAAAAAUUUAGUGUUUAAGAGGUAUCUUUUAGGACUGUAAUCUGUGUGUUUGACGUACCUCAGGUGCUGGGUGAGAUUUCCAGACAUUCAGCUGAAGAUUUUCAAUGAGGAAAGAAAAGAAAGAAAGAAACAAAGAAGAAUAAAACAACAGCAACGACCGAAAUCCUACUGUACUGGAGGUUUCAGCCUCCUGCCACAGCCCCCUCCCAGCGCCAGGCUUGCCUCUCCCUUCCCCAGUGUGCUCGGUGAGCUGGAGGAGCUUGUUCACCUGACUCUGCUUGACAAGCAAACAGUUCUGCAUGUGCAUCCCAGGCUCUCAGACCUGCCUUUCUCUGCCAGCUGUUGUGUGGCUGCUCACUCCACUCCUUACAAGCCUGUAUGCAGACCAGCAGAAUCUGUGGAGCCGGACUCAGAAUGAGCAUCAUCUCCAGUGAUCCAGAAGGCUUCACAGCAAGCAGGAGAAGUCUUGCUCCUUGUCACUGUGAUUAGAGGUGUAGGAAGCAGGAAAAUUGAUCUUUCUGCACUAGGAAGAAGCUUGUCUGUGCAGGAGAGGGCUUCCUCAGAGGGUGGUUUCAAGGACUCAAUUGGACAAUAUGUUUAUCUUCUUGGAUGCUGAAUAUAAUAAGCUGACGUGAAUAUAAUAAGGGAUAACACCAUAUAAUUCAAACAAGGUAAUCCUGACAAAGAAGCAAAUCAGUCAGUGGACAUCACCUAUUGUUCUGCCUGGUUUCAUUUGAGUGUUAGUAGAAGACCAACUCUUCUAUACAACAUCUAACAGUUUGCUAAAUACACAACUAAUUCACUUAUUGGAGGUGAUACUUAUCAAAAAGCUGAGAGGAAUUUGCACAUUGAAAUAUAUUUAUGGUCAUGUGAACAAGGAAGUGACCUGUUGGAGAUGGACCUUGGGUUCCUGAGGAGAAAAGUUAAAGGUGGUGUCUUGAAUUAGUUGGAUACUGCAAGUAUGGAGAGUAUUGAAUGAAAUCCUUUUCUGCAUCUUUAAUCUGUUUUAUGAAGUGCGUCUUCAGAAGUACAAAGGAAGACAGCCCCAAUUUGUUUGUACUGGAUACAGAGGUACUACAGUUACGUAUGAACAUUUCUCAUGGUAUGGAACAGAUCCUUCAGAUCCUCAGGACAGAUAUUAUCCAUCUUCCUUUAGUCAACAGCAAGAAAUCUGAGGUUAAGGAUUCUUCCAGUGAAAACAGGCAGCAGUGUUUUCUCCUGUCUCGAGCCUCCCUUUUUCCCUCUGUCCAGUUGUGGAUCCAUAAACUAAACAAGACUUUGGCAGAAGAUGUCAACAAAUGUGAUAUUCAGACCAGAACUUGACAGCUGCAAAAGUAAAAAGGGGAUAGUCAUCUAUAGUGGUUAUUCCAGAAGCUCAGACUGCUGCUUUCCUUCUUUCCCUGCUCCCAGCAUGGUUUCUGCAGCAAAGAAACUGUGAAGUAUUAAGGGAGAAGUGCAGCUACCAACACUUGAAAUGUUUAAAGGAAGGCUGUGAUUCAGCACGCUCCUGCUCA
ensembl:lncRNA